AUUGAACGCUGGCGGCAGGCUUAACACAUGCAAGUCGAGCGGGCAAGGUUGCUUCGGUAACUGAGCUAGCGGCGGACGGGUGAGUAAUGCUUAGGAAUCUGCCUAUUAGUGGGGGACAACAUUCCGAAAGGGAUGCUAAUACCGCAUACGUCCUACGGGAGAAAGCAGGGGAUCAUUUGACCUUGCGCUAAUAGAUGAGCCUAAGUCGGAUUAGCUAGUUGGUGGGGUAAAGGCCUACCAAGGCGACGAUCUGUAGCGGGUCUGAGAGGAUGAUCCGCCCCCACGGGACGGAGACACGGCCCAGACUCCGACGGGAGGCAGCAGUGGGGAAUAUUGGACAAUGGGGGGAACCCUGAUCCAGCCAUGCCGCGUGUGUGAAGAAGGCCUUUUGGUUGUAAAGCACUUUAAGCGAGGAGGAGGCUCUCUUGGUUAAUACCUGAGAAGAGUGGACGUUACUCGCAGAAUAAGCACCGGCUAACUCUGUGCCAGCAGCCGCAGUAAUAC
rnacentral:rRNA from 1 species